rnacentral:rRNA from 1 species
GAUGAACGCUAGCUACAGGCUUAACACAUGCAAGUCGAGGGGCAGCAUGGUCUUAGCUUGCUAAGGCCGAUGGCGACCGGCGCACGGGUGAGUAACACGUAUCCAACCUGCCGUCUACUCUUGGACAGCCUUCUGAAAGGAAGAUUAAUACAAGAUGGCAUCAUGAGUCCACAUGUUCACAUGAUUAAAGGUAUUCCGGUAGACGAUGGGGAUGCGUUCCAUUAGAUAGUAGGCGGGGUAACGGCCCACCUAGUCUUCGAUGGAUAGGGGUUCUGAGAGGAAGGUCCCCCACAUUGGAACUGAGACACGGUCCAAACUCCUACGGGAGGCAGCAGUGAGGAAUAUUGGUCAAUGGGCGAGAGCCUGAACCAGCCAAGUAGCGUGAAGGAUGACUGCCCUAUGGGUUGUAAACUUCUUUUAUAAAGGAAUAAAGUCGGGUAUGGAUACCCGUUUGCAUGUACUUUAUGAAUAAGGAUCGGCUAACUCCGUGCCAGCAGCCGCGGUAAUACGGAGGAUCCGAGCGUUAUCCGGAUUUAUUGGGUUUAAAGGGAGCGUAGAUGGAUGUUUAAGUCAGUUGUGAAAGUUUGCGGCUCAACCGUAAAAUUGCAGUUGAUACUGGAUAUCUUGAGUGCAGUUGAGGCAGGCGGAAUUCGUGGUGUAGCGGUGAAAUGCUUAGAUAUCACGAAGAACUGCGAUUGCGAAGGCAGCCUGCUAAGCUGCAACUGACAUUGAGGCUCGAAAGUGUGGGUAUCAAACAGGAUUAGAUACCCUGGUAGUCCACACGGUAAACGAUGAAUACUCGCUGUUUGCGAUAUACAGCAAGCGGCCAAGCGAAAGCGUUAAGUAUUCCACCUGGGGAGUACGCCGGCAACAGUGAAACUCAAAGGAAUUGACGGGGGCCCGCACAAGCGGAGGAACAUGUGGUUUAAUUCGAUGAUACGCGAGGAACCUUACCCGGGCUUAAAUUGCAGAUGAAUUACGGUGAAAGCCGUAAGCCGCAAGGCAUCUGUGAAGGUGCUGCAUGGUUGUCGUCAGCUCGUGCCGUGAGGUGUCGGCUUAAGUGCCAUAACGAGCGCAACCCUUGUUGUCAGUUACUAACAGGUUCCGCUGAGGACUCUGACAAGACUGCCAUCGUAAGAUGUGAGGAAGGUGGGGAUGACGUCAAAUCAGCACGGCCCUUACGUCCGGGGCUACACACGUGUUACAAUGGGGGGUACAGAGGGCCGCUACCACGCGAGUGGAUGCCAAUCCCAAAAACCUCUCUCAGUUCGGACUGGAGUCUGCAACCCGACUCCACGAAGCUGGAUUCGCUAGUAAUCGCGCAUCAGCCACGGCGCGGUGAAUACGUUCCCGGGCCU